rnacentral:lncRNA from 1 species
UAUGGUGGUUGAUUUAUGAGUCCAUGGCUGUAGAUUUCUUGUUUUAUUUUGCCUUCUACAAGAAUAGUUAAUAACUUUUCUUGUUCUGUUACUCUAAAAUCAAGAGGAACUUUUAUAUUUAAUCCCAAAUCUCUUUAUUUUUAAAUUUUUAUUAUUUUUUGUUUGUUUGAGACCGAGUCUCACUCUGUCGCGCAGGCUGGAGUGCAGUGCAGUGAUCUUGGCUCACUGCAGCCUCCACCUCCCAGGUUCAAGUGAUUCUGGUG